rnacentral:tRNA from 1 species
GUGGCUCAACUGGUAGAGUGCUUGCUUCGAAUGCAUACAGACCUGGGUUCGAUCCCCAGC